rnacentral:rRNA from 1 species
CAGGAUUAGAUACCCUGGUAGUCCACGCCGUAAACGAUGAGUGCUAAGUGUUAGAGGGUUUCCGCCCUUUAGUGCUGAAGUUAACGCAUUAAGCACUCCGCCUGGGGAGUACGGCCGCAAGGCUGAAACUCAAAGGAAUUGACGGGGGCCCGCACAAGCGGUGGAGCAUGUGGUUUAAUUCGAAGCAACGCGAAGAACCUUACCUGGUCUUGACAUCCUCUGACAACCCUAGAGAUAGGGCUUCUCCUUCGGGAGCAGAGUGACAGGUGGUGCAUGGUUGUCGUCAGCUCGUGUCGUGAGAUGUUGGGUUAAGUCCCGCAACGAGCGCAACCCUUGAUCUUAGUUGCCAUCAUUUAGUUGGGCACUCUAAGGUGACUGCCGGUGACAAACCGGAGGAAGGUGGGGAUGACGUCAAAUCAUCAUGCCCCUUAUGACCUGGGCUACACACGUGCUACAAUGGACGGUACAAAGAGCUGCAAGACCGCGAGGUGGAGCUAAUCUCAUAAAACCGUUCUCAGUUCGGAUUGUAGGCUGCAACUCGCCUACAUGAAGCUGGAAUCGCUAGUAAUCGCGGAUCAGCAUGCCGCGG